UACGUAGGUGGCAAGCGUUGUCCGGAUUUACUGGGCGUAAAGAGCGCGCAGGCGGUCGUUCAAGUCGCGUGUGAAAGCCCCCCGGCUCAACUGGGGAGGGUCACGCGAUACUGAUCGACUCGAAGGCAGGAGAGGGUAGUGGAAUUCCCGGUGUAGUGGUGAAAUGCGUAGAUAUCGGGAGGAACACCAGUGGCGAAGGCGACUACCUGGCCUGUUCUUGACGCUGAGGCGCGAAAGCUAGGGGGAGCAAACGGGG
rnacentral:rRNA from 1 species